GAUGAACGCUGGCGGUAUGCUUAACACAUGCAAGUCGAACGAAGUACGAAAGUACUGAGUGGCGGACGGGUGAGUAACGCGUGAGAACCUGCCUUUUAGACGGGGACAACAGUGGGAAACGACUGCUAAUACCCGAUGAGCCGAAAGGUAAAAGAUUAAUCGCUAAAAGAGGGGCUCGCGUCCGAUUAGCUAGUUGGUGGGGUAAAGGCUUACCAAGGCAGCGAUCGGUAGCUGGGCUGAGAGGACGAGCAGCCACAGUGGGACUGAGACACGGCCCAGACUCCUACGGGAGGCAGCAGUGGGGAAUUUUCCGCAAUGGGCGAAAGCCUGACGGAGCAAUACCGCGUGAGGGAGGAAGGCUUUUGGGUUGUAAACCUCUUUUCUCAAGGAAGAACAAAAUGACGGUACUUGAGGAAUCAGCAUCGGCUAACUCCGUGCCAGCCGCCGCCGUAAGAC
rnacentral:rRNA from 1 species